rnacentral:rRNA from 1 species
UAUGUGAUCGUCUCUCGCAUAUCAAUAAGCGGAGGAAAAGAAACUAACAAGGAUUCCCCUAGUAACGGCGAGUGAAGCGGGAAGAGCUCAAAUUUGAAAUCUUAAAGGGUUUCCCUUUACGAAUUGUAGUUUAAAGAAGUGUUUUCUGUUGAGGUUUUGGUAAAAGUUCUUUGGAAUAGGACAUCAUAGAGGGUGAGAAUCCCGUAUUUGACCUUUACUUUCAACUUUGUGAUACACUUUCAAAGAGUCGGAUUGUUUGGGAAUGCAGUCCAAAAUGGGUGGUAAAUUUCAUCUAAAGCUAAAUAUUGGCGAGAGACCGAUAGCGAACAAGUACCGUGAGGGAAAGAUGAAAAGAACUUUGAAAAGAGAGUUAAACAGUACGUGAAAUUGUCAAAAGGGAAGCGUUUGACACCAGUGUUGUUUUUCUGAAAAUCAAUUAAAGAACUGUUUAUGCUAAGUUGUUUAGACUUUAUCAGCUAUACUGCUUAGUUUUGAGCUUUUCUUUAAUGCACUUUUCAGUUAACAAGUCAACAUCAAUUUCUUUUGCUGUAAGAAAGCUUGAGGAAGGUGGCUUGAGAUUCGUCUUAAGUGUUUAUAGCCUCUUGCCUAUGCAGUCAGAGAGAUUGAGGUCUGCAGCGUAGAUCCUUCGGGACUAAAUGCAUUUGUGCUAAGUUAUAACAUUUUAUAGACAACUUGUUGACUAUGAUUUGUCUUGUAGCUUAGCCUCGCUUAUGUUAUUUUACCUACGCUUAGGAUGUUGAUAUCGCGCUCUCACUG